rnacentral:lncRNA from 1 species
CAAAAACACAGCCUUAACUGAUUCUUUUCUGAAAGUUUUUUGUUGGUUUGCUUUUCCUUUCCGGAGAGGAACAUACAAGAGAGAAAGAUAAUGUAGCUCCUUUGAGACUACAGCCUUAGGCAGAAUCUCUUAAUGGGGGUUUUGUGGCUGCCAGGCAGUACCAGGGUCUUACAGCACAGUUCCUUCUUCUGCUGACAGGCAGGAGGUUUACAUUUCUACUGCGGACACAUUCAGACUGAAGCUGUGACUGAAGAAGAUAAAGCAGCCCUAAGACUGAUGCAUCUAGGUCACUGCUCCUGCUAUCUGCCAGUGCUUUUCUAGCCCCAGAAGAGAACAACCUGCCCAGGAAAUCAAGCAGCAAUGCUUGGAAGGGACUCCUCUCCAGUGGAUGCAUACCAACAUGAUGGAAUUGUGAAAUGACAUGUAUAAUUACGAUAGGAAGAGAUGAACUUUCAUGACGCUUCCUUUACAGCAACAUCGUAUUGGUGGCUUAUGGACAUCCUAUGACCAAGAAAAACACACUGUUUUUCUCUCUGUCGUUCCAGAUCAAUAAGCCUCUGGGUUAAUUGCAGAAUUUCUUGCUGUUAAGUCCAGAACACCUGCUGUAAAACAAGAGGAUUUCCAGAGUAUCCUGAGGAAAACCUGCACAGGACCUUCAGGACUACAGAAAAUGUGACUCUUUGACUGUUCCCUGGUCAGAGAUGGCUUAGAGUGCCUUACCUCCUCCACCACCCAGCUCUGCCAGAAGAUUUGAAGCACCUUGCAAGCAUGACACCUUCCAGGAGGUACAAGGGACCACAUGACUGAAGAGAGCCGGGAGCUUUGGCGGUCGAUACACUGGGAUCUUGAUUUGUGAAGUUCCUUGAUGCCACAGACAACUAACUUCGCUCAUAUAUGUGUAUAUUACUCCAUCUUGAGAAGAGUUCUAAAUUUGCAGCCAAGAUUUGGAAUAGUUGGAUGAAGCUAAUUUUUAUAACUAUGUGGAAGUUUUUCAGAGUUUUUAGGACGGUAAAGACUGUGGACUAUUUCUCCUGUGCAACGUAUUUUCCCUCAAAGUUCACCUAGACUGACAGACCAAAUUUAGUUCUGAAUUAUGGAAUCACAGAAUCAUAGGGGUUGGAAGGGACCUCUAGAGAUCAUCAACUAAACACUGUCUAAAUUCUGCUAGGCUUCAUAUGUUUCUUUUAAACUUUUCCACAGCAGAAACCGAACCUACCACAGUGUAUUUUUUGAGUUUGACCUAUAUAAUUCCUCUAACGACUUCUCCAGUGGUAAGUGUGGAGUGAAUGACCUUACAAAGCUAAGAGACUGUGCUUGUCGAGUAUGUUCUUCAUUUUAGAGCUGUGUCACGUUGCAGGUCACUGAAUCCUCAGAGACUCACUAGUCUCUGAGAAUGUGAGAAUGGAAAAUGGGGCCAUAUAUAGGAAGGUUAUCGCAAUGUCGCUACUACAGGAAAGCAAGAAUCUUCUAAACAAAGAGUGAACUAAACACUGUCAGACUCAGCAGAGACAUUUGUAAAGCUGAAAAUUCUACUUGCUGCAGAGUUUAUUUCUUUCUCAAAGCAGGUGCAAAUAGCUGUAGCACCAAAGGAAUCCCAGACUCUCUUCCACUCUGCUAUACAGCCCACACUUUCAUAGGAUGAUUUGAAAGGGAAUCUUGGUAUUUUCUGUCCAAAUUUGGACGUGGAGUAGCAAGCCUGGUCUGACUCUAACUGCAAGAUAAGCUAAAUGAUUUUUUUUUUUUGGAAGGUUGUUGGUUUAGCUCUGGGCUGGAGACUCUUCAUCCUUAUACAUAUGACUUUCAGAGGACACAGAAGCCCAGCCUCAGCUAGCAAGGUUUCCAGGGUUACCCAUUCCUCAGUUAACUUUCCUGGUUUGCACCAGAGAAAUCAGUAAUAAAAGACAUGGGUAAUAAAUACCAGUUCAGUCUCACAGACUCUCCGUUUUCCAGUGAAGACCACCAGAAAAUGUCAGUGUUACAGUCAACAGCCAAGGGCUCACCUGAUUAUGGGUGUGAGGACUUUUUGUGCUACUGUGGUUAACAUGGCAGAAAAUUCUAACAUAAAUGAGUCAGCUUGCCCAAGGCAAAGGCUUUUUUUUCCACCAAAAUUUUCCCACCAUGUGGCAGAUGCUAUCCUGUUCUUUGGACAGCCUUUAACUGAACAUCUCCCAGUGCUUCAUAGACACUAAGCCUGAAAUAUAUACUGCAGCUUUAAUUCUAUCAUGGCCGUUCAUAUUCCCAUACAGGACUCUUAGUCUGCUUUAAUUUGAGAGUUGAAAAGGGAGAUAGGCAAAGCUAGUACGAAUUUGAAAGACUUGACCAUUUCUCUGAAGUAGUUUGUUUAUAGUGCCAUCAACUGAACAGAAUGGCAUACUGUAGAAGUUGAAAGUAAUUUAUCUGAAGGCUGCUGGUAGAAAACCAUGAUAUGACAGUAAAAACCCUUAGGUAUCAUUCUUUCCUCCGCUUCAAAACAAUCCAGGAAUAAUUCUUAAACAUCUUACCAGCAUCCAAGGUAGUUUAGAGGAGUAUUGCAAGUGUGUAAAUUUCUCAGUAAAAUUUACUAUUUUAUAUAAAAUUCAUUCAAAUAUUUACUGCUUCUAAAUUACUAUCUACACUUUAUGUUUGGUCACUGAAAAAAGAUUACAUUGUAUUUACCUCUAAAUUCAUGGCUUCUGAAUGAGCUGAUGAGCUAAUGAGUCCAUUAAAAUGUGUAAUCAUACAAAUGCAUACUUGUGUGCAUUUAACGUGCUUUUGGUUUGGUUGGGGUUUGUGUGUGUUGUUUUUGUCUUUUCUUCUCGAAUGUGCCCUUAUGAACAAAACUUUAUUUAUAUGAAGGUUCCCCUCAUGUGGGUGAACACUGUUCAGGAAUGCUUUCAGACAUAGUUUGAUUUUUAUUUGAAUCAAGGUUCUAAAAACAGUUUUAUGCAAUAUUGUUAUUUCUACACCGAAGUAAGUUUCGAAGUGGAUUAACACGUGGUACCUGAGCUUUAAUACUCUUCCAUUCUCAAUUUGAAUUUAUCGGCCAUGGAGUUUCAAACUGGGGAAUAUCUUUAACCUUUUUAAUUAGUUCUUCAUUGUGGGGAACAGAACAAACUGGCAGACUACAGUCACAAUUAUCAAAAGCAAAUACAGACAGUAUUACACAUCCAGCUUCUGAUGAGAAAGGAUAAUGAGAAAUCUGAUUUGAUCCAUGACAAACCAUGGGUCAGCAAAUCAUGCCUGCUUCUUGUGUUCUAAACCAUGCCUUUUUUUCACUAAUUUUAACUUCAAUUUCUUUUUCAGAAGGGCAAACUCACGAACACUCACGCUUUCAUCAUCUGGGAAGCACUUGUAAUAGCCAUUCAAUAAUUUAAAAUUAAAAUAGCCCCCUGUUGUCUUUUCCAGGUAUAAUGCAAGACAGCUUUAUUUCCUUUUUUUCUUUUUCUUUUUCUUUUUCUUUUUCUUUUUCUUUUUCUUUUCUUUAAGAGGCUUUUUGAGACCUUAAAUGACCAACAUGUGAUCUGCCAUUAGCUUCUGCGACUGGAGUAGUGUGGCACAGGCAUCUAUGGGAAGCCUAUGGAGGAUGUUAUGAAGGCUUCAGACAUUUGUCUGAGGCAACUAAUGGAAGAAUAUAAUCAUUACAAACACCUUCAGUAGUCAACAGAGAAAGAGAGAAGCCUUCCCAGCUGUUCAGCAAAAUACUCUGCUAUGUGUCUCUUUGUUCCCUGCAUUUUGCUCCAGAGCGAUCCAGUGCCCUCACUGUUUGCUGACUGAGAAUUCUACUUUUAUUAAAAAAGUAAAUUUGCCUUGGAAUCAGCUAGUAUCCUACAGAAACCCUGCAAGGGUGCAGGCAGUAGGUGCUGAGAGCAGAUGUAGUUGCCACGUAGAGAUUAACCAGAUGAGUGUUUCAGAUGGCACUGCUGGGAUUUGUUACUGCUCUCUGAUGACCAAACACUGCGGAAACUAUUAUGAGAGUGAAAUUUGCUCUGUGCUGUGCUGCUACAAUACAACUACUGUUUCUUUUCAUCAACAUCAGAACAUGAAAAUAGAGCAAGAAUCAUGCACAAGCUGCAGCGAAGCUCAUAUUGAAGAUCUUCAUAUUUUUUGCAGCUAAUAAUGAAACAUUGUUCUUCAUACAAAUGCCUCAUUAACUCAUUAUUCUAGGCAAGGUGCAAGUUCAUAUAACUCACAAAUUAUGUUAUUUCAAUAAUAGCUGUGGAAGUUAGAAUGGAAACACUUUAAUCUUGCAGAGGCAAAUGUCAUGACAACAAUCAGUAAUGUUGUCUUCACUGUAUUAAGCCAGAAGCUGUGCUGGAAAAUGAAUAUGCUCCAUAUGCUGAUAGGCACACCCAGAGCCGCAAGCAGCAAUCUUUUUUUUAUAAAGCAGGAUUUAAGAGUGACAUUUAUACCAACCUUUUCCUUUAUAACAAAAUUUUGUUUAAAAACCUCCAAUGUAUUUUGCUUAUAAGUGAGGGCUUUUUUUUAUUCGUUCUUUUUUUUUUCUAAAUACAAAGCUGGGGACCUCUGGGCUCGGGAGUUCUAUGGCUAUUAUUUUUAUUUUACAAGUUUAUAAUCCUGCAGAAGUUCAGUUUAUGUUUCUGUAGUUCUCAUGCCAUAAUGUGCAAACACAAAAAGCAACAGUAAAGAAGAAAAUCUGAAAUAUUCUGACUUUGAUUUUACUGCAUAAGGCCCAAUCACAUUUUCCUAUCCUCACUUACACCAUUAACUUUUCUGUUAUAUUUGUUUAUAUUGCUUUUACCAAAAAAAAAAAAAAAUGUUUUUUUUGCAAUUUAUUUUCUGAGUACCAGGAUAUGCAGAUAGUUCCAGUGUUCCAUGGCUUAAACUGGACUAUGGUUUCAUUACAAAAUAAACUUUUCUCAGUUAGUUACUGUUAACAUGGCCCACCUAGGACAAAAUUUUGCUCUCCCACCAACCCAUUUCAUUCCUGAUGGAUAGAGGUCUGGAAUUCUGCAUACGCACCUGGGCACAACAAAAUCCCUCUGGAUUCUGCAAUCUUCUCUUCAAGUUGGUUGUUCUAAAGUUAAUUUGAAGCUUCAUAGCUUGUGGCAGCAAUAAAUAACAGAAAAGUAUUAGGCCGUGCAACUCUUGACUCAAGAAAAAGAGAGAAAUUUGAAGGGGAUGGGGACAGUCAACUUUGUUGACCCUGCUGCUAACAAAGAGGUGAAAUGAUGGGAAAAUGAUUGCUGUUGAUUAGAGGGGCCACCCUUAUGUCAGACUCACUCAAAAAACGUGACAGCCUGGGAGAAGUAAGUUUUCAAGACCUGUGUAGAAUCACACAGUUAUUUUCCUGCCCCAGCCAUUUGUAGCCAUUAGCAACUGCCUGUGUUACUUAUCCUAUGCUGGACUGUGUAUUUACAUGCACACAGGUAUGUAACAUUAUCUGUGUGUGUAUAUAUAUACACACAUACACACACUUAAUGGUUUUCUAGUAUAACCGAACCUCUUCUUGACAAAUAAUGGAUAUUACAAUAUAUUACUAACAGUGAAGAAUUUUCUUAGUUGCUUGUGCUUUUUUGGAGCAAAAGAGACAAGUUUCCGUGGUUAACAUGAAAUCAUGUGGACUAUGGUGCUCUCAGUUAAGAGGUUUCCUACUAUUUACUAUCAGAUCUAGCACAGCACCAAACAAAGAAUCUCUGUACCCAGUUGAAAUGUCUUUUUUAGACGCAGAAAUUUGGUCAGAAAAAGUCUACAGUGGUGACGUGCAAGAGCCAGAAACCUCACACUGCAGCUCUAGGUUCAUUCUAGUUCUAGGGAGACAUAGCCAGCCCUGAGCAAUUAAUAUCCUUUUCUCACACCCAGCUUCAGCCAGGAGGUGUCUUUCCUUCCUGGAAAAUGUUCCCAUCCAUUUUGUAACAGAUGAAGUAAGACAUCCUGGUAAGUAAAUAGGAAUUUGUAGCACUGUAUGAAUAUUCAUUUUUUCUGUCCAAACACAGCGAUUAAAACCUAACAUUUUAACCUCUGGAGAUUUCAGAAUGUGCAAAUCAGGUGCUAAAUGGCAGCUUUAGGAAACUAUUAAUACAAACCUAGUUUGCUCUGCUAGUAAAAAGCAGAGAUUUCUUAUCUCCAAUUUAAAACAUGACCCAAGUGGAUAUAUUUAUCAUUGCAAUUUUUGUCUUAAUACAUCAGUUGAUAGCAGGAGGACUGGAGCCAGAAGCAGCCACAGUCUCUGUGUGCAGUAGAAGGUGUAGAGCUGUGUGCCUGAACCUGCACCGUGCCACCUGCAACCAGCCCUGGAAUAGAAGGAAAGGUGGGUAAUACCCUAACUCUGACAGCCCUCCAUUAGAUCAUGUCCCUGAGCACCACAUCCAAACAGUUUUUAAACACAUCCAGGGAUGGUGACUUAACUACUUCCCUUGGGAACCUAUUCCAGUGCUUAACAACCCUUUCUGUAAAGAAGUUUUUCCUGAUAUCCAACCUAAACUUACCCUGGCACAACUUAAGGCCAUUUCCCCUUGUCCUGUCACCAGUGAGAAGAGACCAACCCUGCUCUCGCUGUAAGCACCAUUCAGAUACUGGAAGAGAGCAAUAACGUCUCCCCUCAGCCUCCUUUUCACCAGACUGAACAGCCCCAGCUCUUUCAGUCUCUCCUCAUAGGGCAUAUUCUCUAAGCCCUUCACAAGCCUUGUUGCCCUUCUUUGGACCUGCUCCAGCAUCUCAAUGUCCUUUCUGUACUGAGGUGCCCAAAACUGAACACAGUACUCGAGGUGAGGUGUCACCAAUGCCGAGUACAGGAGCAGGAUUACUUCCCUAGUCCUGCUCACCACACCAUUUCUCAUACAAGCCAGGAUGCCAUUGGCCUUCUUGGCCUCCUCUGGGCACACUGUUGGCUCAUAUUCAGCUGACUGUCCAUCAGUACACCAAGGUCCCUUUUCAUCAAGCAGCUUUCCAGCCACUCCUCCUCAAGCCUGUAGGGUUGCCUGGGGUCGUUGUGACCAAAAUGCAGGAUCUGAAACUUGGCCCUACUGAAACUCACACAGUUAACCUUGGUCCACUGAUCCAGUCCAUACAAGUCCCUCUGUAGUGCCUUUCUCCUCUUUGGCAGAUCAACACUCUCCCAACUUGGUGUUGUCUGCAAAUUUACUGAGGGUGCCUGUGGUAGAACUAAGCAAGGCACUACAGUACUGAAUAACUUUUAUGAGCACUUCUAGCAGGAUAAGCUAUGCUGAACUACAACAGGGAGAUGCUGAGGCUGAGCUGUCAUGACCUAGGAGUGGAUGUGGGAGCUCAUGUUUCACAGAAUGGCUCAAGCACAAGCACUGCUUUGUUCCCAGUGCUCCGUGGGGCAUGGCAUAUUUGCGCCUCUGCAUCAGAGCAGCUAUAGCCACACAACCAGGUAUGUACUAGCUUACUACCUAAGGGGAGGUUUUUUAGGAUUUGCUGCUUGUCUGAUGACUGAAAUUGCCAUCUGGAUCUCAGUGAGUGGUACUUCUAGGCAAACCUUUCUAGUGCUGGUGGGAAUCAAGCCAUAAAAACAUGAAUGCCUUCUUAAUUCUUUUUUUCAAGGUGGUGACACCCAGCUAAAACACUUGAAAGAACGAUUUAAGCAAAGUGACAAGCUAGUGGCACUUUUCUAACUAUUACUUUUAAACACUACAGGUUAAUCUCUUUGAUUGGGAAGCUUUAGGAUUCUUUUCCUAGAGAGCUCCCAAUGGCAAUCAGUAGAAAAGUGAAAACAUCUAAAUCAUCUCUUCUGAAAGCCAGUGUGAAGGAAAGGUAUGCUCUGAAGUCUGCACAUCAGGUCACAGCAUAAAAGAGAGAACAAGAGCCUGAAAGCGCAUCUUGAGUGCUUUGUGAAAUAUACCAUUUGUCUUCAAUUUUGCAUCUUCCUGAAACCACAGAUUUCAAAGCACACGGGACCGCUCAGAUAAGUCAUAUAAGCUCUCUUUCCUGGAGAUGUCAGCCAAAAUGCCGCAUGAUCACCAACAAGCGCAAAAAUGAACAAACUUCAGGGAUCAAGUCUAAGCAAGAGAUUAGAGAAGACAUCCCCCCAGAAUGCUCCCAAACUUCCUACUCUGGUUCCUCCUGAAGAGCAGAAUUCUGCUUGGACAAACUACCUACAGACUGAAAUCCAAGUGUGUUGAUGCCCGGGCUGUCUUUUCCCCAGAAGCAGGAGCAAAAGAGAAGAAACUUUUCUUCACUUUGCAAAACGAUGUCUCUUUUGCACCACUGACUUUUUUCACUCCAUAAAUGAUGUGAGUAAAUAUAAUUUACAAAUCUAUGUUGUGACAAUCUCUUAACUUUUUCUCAUGAAAGUAAUUGUUCUGAAACAGUCUUUCAGUCAUGAUUAAUUUUAUACUUGGCUGACUCAUUUUUGUCUUGCAAUUAGAUACACUGUGUGCAUGCUUUUAUCUUUAAAGAUCAAUUCUGGAUAUUAUGCAGAGAAGUAAUUGAAUUAGUUUGCAUAUAUAAUUUUUUUUACAGUUCAGACAUACUUAGUUAACUAGACAGUCUUGUUCUCUAAUUGACUUAUUUUGGUUUGCUUUUAAUUAAUCCUGCUAUCUCCAUGAUGGCACAAAUUCUGGAUUUUCAGAAGGCUGAGUGUAAGAUAAAUGCAGUAUCUUGUGGUUCUUAUGGGGGGGGUUGGGAACAAACAAACAAACAAAAAAAAACAAACAAAAAACCCCCCACAACUAUUGAACUGAGAAAAACAUGUAGUGGAUGAAGUUUUGCUUUGGGACCCUGUGACUAGAGAGAUGCAGGACUCCAACAUGGACUUCAUCAUGACAUUGAUAAACAUUCUACUUCCCAAUUUGUCUGCAAUUCUAAUACCUCUUCAAACUCUGAUGUUUAUUCCCUAUUAAUUUAGAUAGAUAAUUGUUCUUCUCAUGCUUCACUUUAUAAUUAUCUAAACUAAACCACACCUUGAAUUUUUGUUGGAUGUGUUUCUUUAGAUGGCUCAGUCCCAUACCUCAAUAAACUUUAGUCCUCUGGAUUAAGUACUCCCAUAUCACUCAAUGUCUAUUCUACAGGGCUCUGUGAAUUAUCUGCCUGUUCAGUCUGUAUAUUCACCAACUUAAAGUACUUUUUCUGCAAAGUAGCAGAUUAAAACAGAAUGUAGUCCAUUCAUGGCUCUAUUAAAUAUUUACACAUUAUCUUUAGACUUUUUAUAUGUACAUAAAUAUCCCAGAGCCAACCAAUAUGUGAAGACCUGAGCACCUGCUUGAUUGGUAAGAGAUAGAAAUUGUUUCUUUCACAGUCCCAGAUUUCUGUAACAGACUGAAAUAAUUGGCUUAAGCCAUCUUCAGAGCAUUUUCAGAAGAGCUGUGCCUUCAUUUUUGUGAGUCAUUUCAAACACUGUUAAUCAUUUCUUGAUACUGCUGCUGAUAGCUUCCAUCCCAGGUCUGCCAAUGCCCUUAAGUCACUUGUAUCAAACGAGAAAGAAAUGCUGUGUGGUUUUUUUUUUUUUUUCUUCCAGCUCUGGAUCUGAAUCAUACCUUAAGUUGCUGGGCCAUUAUCAGACUGUUAUGGUUUUAUGAUUUUUGGUUAUUGGUAUUCCACAUCAUAACAUCUUGUAGUGCACUGGUAGUUAAAGAGUUAAUGCUCCAGUUCCAGGUACCUGUCUGGAAGAGAAGAAGAAAUACAUACCCCAGGAGGCUUUGCAUUCAGAGAAGAGAUAUAACCCCUGGCAAGGUCACCUGAUGUCCUUUUCUUCUUUUGGCUCUCCUCCCUGCUGCUUGACCCAACUGCACAUCUCACCUCAGUGUUACAGUGAGGCUUUCAGCUCUUGGACACUCCUUCUCUCAUUAUAUUUGAUUGAUUAGCUUCAAUUCUUAUUAUAUUGUAUUAUAAUGUAUUAUCUUGCAUUCUGAUACUAUAUUUAGUAAAUUAGUUUCUUUCUUCUCAGAUUGUUGCUCCUGGUCUUAAUUGUUCAGGGUCCCCUGUUUCCUUUUUUUGGAGGUCUGGAUCUGUGGAUCCCUCCACCCUGCCAGUCAUGGAACUGGGCUGAACCAGAUCGUUACUGAUCAAUCUCUAAAAAUGAAUGAAAUUUGAGGUCUGAGAAAAGAUUUUUCAUGCCACCCAAAUUGUCACCUGGUUACUUCGAUGUUGGGACAAUGGGGUCAACAGUGUGUGGCAAGAACAUAGAGAAGGUUGCCAACUGGGUGGCAUUGCUAGGGACUCAGCCAUUGGUAUUAGUACAUGCUAGAACCAGGCCUCUUCACCCUCUGAAAGAGGAUGUUGUUAGCUGUGAAAGAAAGAUACCCCUUCAAAGACGAUCUGAUGCCUGAGGGGAAAAAAAAAAAAAAAAAAAGGACUGAUAGGGAAAAAGACAUCUGUUACUUGAGAGACUAUGCUGUGGUGGAAAUGUUACGUAGCCCCAUUUUCAUUCCUGAUGAGCCAGACCAAGAGCAUGAUCCUGGGAGAGUCAGGUGUACACAAAGUAUGUGGCAUAUAUUCACAAAAACUGCACCAGAAAGGUAUGCCAGUUCGUGUGCAGCAAUGUAUGGCAGAGGGGAAAGAGGACCCCCUUAUAAACAAACUGAUUAAUAAACUCCAAGACUUUGAGUUCCAUUUCACCCCUCUAUGAGCUUGUGUUUCCGCUAUUUCAAAAGUAGCUGAAAAACUGGACAGAAUGGAAAUAUGAUAGAUGAACUGUCUACUGUGCUUAAUGCUGAAGGAUGCGUGGUGGUAUCAGAUACAUCUGAUGGGGACAAGGAUUCCCAAAACAGCCUAUUGGGCAGGCUGAUCAAAUUGGUUUCCUCCCAGCCUGGAUCAUCCAAUGUCUCAGCUAUCAAAAGAAAACAUCUUCCUGCACAUUCAAGUGACAACAGUAAGACUGUAAAACUGUUGCGUUUUGCCGUGUGGCAUUACCUACAUGACCAUGGAGAAGAUAUGAAGAAGUGGCAUAAAAAACCCCCUCCUGCACUUCAAGCUUGGGUAAAAGAAUUACAAGACAGAUCAACCGCUAAGGUGAACCUCUCCAAAGAGAUGAUUGCUUCAGUUGCUGUGGGACACAGCAAUAGCCAUAAGAACAACAGAGAUAACAAAUAGAGGGGGCCCUGCCCCCAGCCGGGGGUGGAAGGGAUAAUAGAGUGCAUUGGACUGUGUGGAUUAGAUGGCCUGGCAUGUCAGAACUACAGAAAUAUAAGGCCCUGGUGGACACUGGUGCACAGUGCACUCUAAUGCCCUUGAGUCACCGAAGGAAAGAAUCAAUUUAUAUUCAUGGGGUGACUGGGGGUUCCCAACAAUUGACUAUGUUGGAGGCUGAAAUAAGCCUCAGUGGUAAAGACUGGCACUCUUUCUCUCAUUAUAUUUGAUUGGUUAGCUUCCAUUCUAAUUAUAUUGUAUUAUAGUGUGUUAUCUUGCAUUCUGAUACUAUUAUUUAGUAAAUUAGUUUGUUUCUCCUCAGAUCAUAGCUGCUGUUCUUAAUUAUUUGGGGUCCCCUGUUUCCCCUUUCCAGAGGCACAGAUAUGCAGAUCCCUCUGCCCCACCACUCAUGGAACUGGGCUGAACCUGCCCAUAAACCAUUGACAAAGACUGACUAAAUUUUUGCCAUAGCUCAUGCAUUAUUUCUCCUGAAGUCAGUUACUUAACUCUUGGAUUUUAGGUUAUGUUCUAACCCUCCUUCCUCUGAACGCUUUAUUUAACCAUUCACAGAUGUACUGUACAUCUCUUAACCACUUCUUUUUAGUGUUGUGUGACAGUGCCCCACAACACAGCUUCUUUUGUAUUAUAAGGUAACUUACAUGUCCAUAUUUUAUAUAAAAGCAACAACACAGUAGAGAGAUCUGUAAAACAAGAAGACUUAUUUGUUCCCAGUUCACUUCUUUUUUUCAUGUUUACUUAUUAAUAUGCAGUCAUGCAUGGAAACACUCUUGUUACAUUCAAUUUCAUUGGUAUUCAGCUCUUUCAAAAAAGAGUUAUUUCAGUCUCUGGGAAAACAAACAAAAAACACCACCAACAAAAACUAGCAAAGCAAACAACCACCACCACCACCACACACACACACGCACCAAACACAAAACAAAUGAAUAAAAAAAAUAGCCUGGGCUGUAAAGCUGAGUUCCCAGCUCCUGUUUGUGCAAAUAUAAAAGUACAUAAUGAAUAUAUCUGGACACCAGUGUGGGAAGAAACUCAGCUGGAAGCUCUUUGACCUUGUAGAGGAAAAGCCAACAGAUGAAGCUGUCAAUUUGGAUAAAAUUGAAGUAAAAGUAAGGUGCACAUGUUAACAGUGGUGAUAAUUAACUACUGGACUACCUUACCAAUACAUGCGGUAGCAUCUCCUUUACUUGGUCUCUAUGAAGUUGUUAUUAUAUUGAGCAUGUGUCUGUCAAAAGAGACGGAAACACAUGAAAGACAGAUCCAUCAAGAACCAUUAAUUGUGAGCGAGCAUGUACAGUUUCCAUCACAGACCAUCUUUAAAUUGCCAAAUGUGAGAAAUAAACAGAAUAUCCUGUAAGAAGUAUUCCUCAGAACUCGCUCUCUUUCCACAGGUAUUUGUUACUCGCAACCUUAGGAGAUGUUCUGUGAUGCAUAUAAAGGUCCUUACAUUCUUAAAGAGAAUACAGAGGAAAUGAGGAAAAGGAAAUUCUAUAGCAUUCCUAAGAGAAUCACAGCAGUAAUUACUAUAAUGAUUACUUUUGGACUUGAAACACCAGGGAAAAAAAAAGUCCUUAUGUUGUAUGAAAAUUGCAAGCAGGCACACAAGAAGGAUUUAAUGAUAUAUCGACUCAUUUUGAGAUAUCGGUUUCCACAGAAAAGGCAAGUGCACUGAGAACACAAAACAGCUUUAACAUUGCAGUCAAAUGCAUUCUAAGUAUUGAAAUAUAAUCAUUGCUUUCAUUUUUCAGCCUACCAAAACUUACAGGUUUAUGUUCAUUACACCUUGGCAAAGACAGAUAAAAUAGAGACUAAGUAUUCAACUAUUCUGUGAAGAUGAAAGAGAUUGCCAAGCUGCAACAGCAUACAACUAUCAGGCAUGUUCUGAUAGCUAUUUAUUCUACCUAUACUGACUGCGAUCCAACCACUGAACUAAAAGUGGUCCAGCAGCAAUUCCUGGAAAAUCUGUUUGGACAAACGUUUAAUACAAGGUUCAGUAAGAUGAAAUUCCUACUAUGAGAAAUCAAGUAGAAAAGCUAGUCAGAAUAAAAAAUGACAAAAGAUAAAGUGCAAGAUUUAUCAAAAGUGGUCAAUCUGCACACCUUAAGAGCUAUAAUCCAUACAAGAUAAAUUGAUUCAUAAAUUGAUCUCAACUGAGAAUGCCAAAAAUUAGUAUUAAUAGAUUGAUUUCAAAGGCAAUUAAGAAAAGGUUGGAAGGAGCAUUUACAACUCCUUACCCAUGUCUCUCAUUUUUAAUACUGAAACAUUUUUGAUGCAGUGAAGGCAAGGAUCUAACAAAGAGGUGCUACAUGGAACAUGCAACAAUGGGCUGCACAGCAGGCUCCUUCAUGGAUAUUAACAUAAGGAAUGUCCUCAUGAAAAAAAAAAAAACAACAAGGGAGACUCAUUGGCUUGUUCUGCUAUAAGCACUGAAGAAUAAAACUUAUCCUUUCCCAGGAGGCAUCAUUCCAUCAAUGUUAUUUAGUCUGUAGGAAUGUUCAUCAUCACUUUGCUGGUAGGAUACAUUCUACUACUUAGAGUCUCAAUUCUGUGUCAUUUUCUGAGGUUUGUCUGAAACAUUUUCACUGUUACUGCAGAUGAAACCUGGAAGAAGGAGUUAGAGGCUGCCUUUUUCUUCAAUUUCUGCCUAGCAGUUCAUGAAUAAAUUACUCACUGACUACAUGUUUAAUUAACCCUUCCACACUUCCUCUGUUCCUUUCUGUUUAGCUCAUUUUUUUCUAGGCUGCAGUGAAUGGGUAUCGCUCUGGGCCAUAUAAAAAUAUUUGGCUGUCCAUUAAUGCCCAAACCACCGAGGCACGUCUUCAGCUUAUUUGUAACACUGGGGAAAGAUCUUUGCUUUUAAAUGAAGCUGACAAAUCAAUGACACAUUCUCAAGGGUACUUUAAAUAUUACUGUUUGAAAGCUAUUAUAUUGCCUCUGGAUUCCACCACUGUUAAUGCAAAAGAACUAGAUGAAUAAAUAGAGCUAAUGAACUAAAGAAACACUUAGUUUAUAAACUUUCCCUUUAGAGACUUAGUUUUGAUUUGGUUGUCCAAAACUUGGGAGGUUGAAAGUCUUAUUUAUUGAUGGUAUUCUCUGCUUAUGUAUAAUAUAUAAUGCAGAGCAGGAAAUCACAUUCAUUUUAAAUACAUCCAGAAAAAUAUACCUGUAAUGUUUCAUUCUUCUGACCAUGGCAAAGAAUGGAAUUUUUUUUUUUCAAACACUGACAAAAUCUGCAUAGUCUUUGAAAACUGUUGACUAAUAUACAACAUACUAAUAUGUGGGAAGAAGAGCCAGAAUGUCUAUGGCAAUCACACAUAUAGUAUACUACUUUUUUUUCCCCAGUGAUAGUGGCUUUUGAAGGUGAGGAAGAUGGUUGAAAGCCAAGACGCUUUUUCACAUGUACAUAGACACACACAGAUCCUCAGCCUUUUCUAGUUCACCCGUGAGGUUCCAUAUUUCCAAGGAAAUACUUCUAAGAGAGCUGUACUUGUUUAUCCUUUCUCUAAUAUUACUGCUGUGAGCUCUUUUUUAAUGCUCACAUUAUCAAAAUGAUGGUAGAGAGAAAUUCUGGCAUAAUUAAAUGGCUUAGAAGAGGCUUUCCCAUUCUUUUUUCGCUUUAUAAUGCUGUUUUUUAUGACUAUUAACUGCAACAGAGAGUAAAAAAACCAGCCUGCAGAAAUCCAGAUCAGACUCAUUCUCUUUCUUCACAGAUGACCAAUGCAGUCAUCACUUUGAAGUUAUGAAAGUGCAAAAUAUAAAACUUGCUUAAAUAUGCUUAUCAGUUUUGAUAAGUUAAUGGCUUUUUCUUAGUAUAAUUGGUCCUUCUGGGAAUGGUAGUUCUCAUAUUUCCUAUUCAUUUAUUCUUGGCAUCUUGGGAACCUCCACUCUUAAUUUCCAGUGAAAUUAACAAUGAUUAGGCUCAGUUGCUGGUUUUAACUGUCCUGUGCAGAAAGUAGCAUCAUUGUUAUGUUAUAGGAGCUAGGAGAUCUGGAUUUAACUUUUAGAUAUGUAACUUGCUUACAUUGUAUCCUCAUUGUACAAAUCUCAUGUGCUUUUACUUGCAUGCCUCUCCAUCACACUUGCCCAGGAGAAACUAGUUCUUGGUUUUGAAUGCAGAGUUUAUCAAGAUUCAUCUAUGUCUUCAAACAAGACCUCUAGUAAUGAUUUCAGUAAGUUCCAGCUGUUAGGUCAUUACAUCCUUUGAAGACAUUUAUCCAAGAAAAGUAUCAAGAGCUGCAUCAAAGCUAUGUCAUGGAAUCAAAAGUGAGUCUGGUCCAUGGCCUAUUUAACAUAUGGUCCCAAAAGCUGUUCUUGAAGAAUGGGCCAUAGUAUUUCACACCAAGAACAAUCCUGUUAAUUAAGACAGAACCUUGAGGAAUAUAGGAGAAAUGGAAAACAUCUUUUCUGCAAGCAGAACUCCAGGCUUGACUAGUCAUGUUAGCUCUAAGAUACAGUAGUGACAGAGAUGUUGUAAGGCAUUUUGAAGCACUGAAACUUUUCAUUUCCCAUUACCUCUAUCCAACCACCACCCCUGUUAUCUUCUGCUUUUCCCACAUCUAUAGACCUCACCUCAUUAUAAAGCUGCUGAAACUGGCAGAGAUCAGAGAUGUCAACCACACUAUAUGUCUCCUUCAGAAAGGCACUGGCAUAUCUUAAACUGCCCAUGCUGCAGCACAGAAGUUAUAUUUGGGAUAACUAGUCCCAGGGAAGUCACUAGGAAUUCUGCUGAAAAAAAAUGUCCUAGGUAUUUUUGAUAAUCCUAUCCUGUAGUAAUGGGAUUUGUUGAUAAUAGAAGAGUAAACAUUAUACCAGUGCUGUAAACUUGAGUAAACUUGAGGGUAAUGAAUCUCUAAUUAAAUAUGGCACUUGUAAAAAGCAGCAUUUUUUUUCUGGUUGAUUUUUUACUUUCUCUUGACUUUUGGAUUUGCUGAUGAAACAAUGUAGAAAUAAAAGAGAAAGUUCUUGAUAAUUUGCCCUGUUAUUUUGUAAUUACACAUUGGGAAACAAAGUGGAAUGUUGCAUCUCAGUGUCCCAAACCCAUGGUGGGGCACAUCUGAGUGACAUGCAAGAAUUGUCCAUAAAAGAUAAUGAG